rnacentral:rRNA from 1 species
GGUGCGUAACGCGUAUGCAACCUACCCAUAACAGGGGGAUAACACUGAGAAAUUGGUACUAAUACCCCAUAACAUCUCGAGUGGCAUCACUUGGGGUUGAAAGCUUCGGUGGUUAUGGAUGGGCAUGCGUUGUAUUAGCUAGUUGGUGAGGUAACGGCUCACCAAGGCGACGAUACAUAGGGGGACUGAGAGGUUAACCCCCCACAUUGGUACUGAGACACGGACCAAACUCCUACGGGAGGCAGCAGUGAGGAAUAUUGGUCAAUGGACGGAAGUCUGAACCAGCCAUGCCGCGUGCAGGAUGACGGCUCUAUGAGUUGUAAACUGCUUUUGUACGAGGGUAAACCCGAAUACGUGUAUUCGGCUGAAAGUA